GAUGAACGCUAGCGGCAGGCUUAACACAUGCAAGUCGAGGGGUAUGCCGAUCUAUCGGCAGAGACCGGCGCACGGGUGCGUAACGCGUAUGCAAUCUACCUUUCACAGAGGGAUAGCCCAGAGAAAUUUGGAUUAAUACCUCAUAGUAUAGCAGUUUCGCAUGAAACCACUAUUAAAGUUCCAACGGUGAAAGAUGAGCAUGCGUCCCAUUAGCUAGAUGGUAAGGUAACGGCUUACCAUGGCUACGAUGGGUAGGGGUCCUGAGAGGGAGAUCCCCCACACUGGUACUGAGACACGGACCAGACUCCUACGGGAGGCAGCAGUGAGGAAUAUUGGUCAAUGGACGCAAGUCUGAACCAGCCAUGCCGCGUGCAGGAUGACGGUCCUAUGGAUUGUAAACUGCUUUUGUACGAGAAGAAACAACAUUACGUGUAAUGUCUUGACGGUAUCGUAAGAAUAAGGAUCGG
rnacentral:rRNA from 1 species